rnacentral:rRNA from 1 species
UGACCUCGGAUCAUGGUACCUUUAUCGGAACAGA